UUAGCUCUGACUCCAUGAAGAAAAACAAGAAAAAAGAAAGAAAAAAAAAAGGAAAGCCUUUGAGCUUGUUGGUCAAGCAACUUGUAAUUUCUCCAGGCCAGAGGAGGAGAAAGAACAAUGCCUGAAGCUUUCUGAAGAGAAGCCAAGAUGGUGAUCUCCAGUUACCCUGAGGUCUUACUGAUCACCCUAAUAACCCCAGCAGCCCUGAAGGGCUUCUCCAGGUGACCAUUUGCAAGCAUCCUCUAAUCAGCAUCCUCUGUUGGGAAGAUUAAUUGGAUCGUAGCUCCCCUGCAAAUGGCAAAGUUUGGUGUAAAUAUCAGUUAAUACUAUUUUGAUCAUCCACUCCCUGGCUGCCUCCAAAGCCAGAGCCUUCAGUUCUGCUUGACAAAUGGAGAAAUCCUUCUUC